UCAGGUGGCCGCAGAGAAUAGGCCCAAGCGACUGUUUACCAAAAACAUAGGUUUCUGCUAAGUCGCAAGACGAUGUAUAGGAGCUGACGCCUGCCCGGUGCUGGAAGGUUAAGGGGAUCUGUUAGAGCAAUCGAAGCAGUGAACUUAAGCCCCAGUAAACGGCGGCCGUAACUAUAACGGUCCUAAGGUAGCGAAAUUCCUUGUCGGGUAAGUUCCGACCCGCACGAAAGGCGUAACGAUUUGGGCACUGUCUCAACAACAGACUCGGUGAAAUUGUAAUUCCGGUGAAGAUGCCGGAUACCUGCGACAGGACGGAAAGACCCCAUGGAGCUUUACUGUAGCUUGACAUUGGGUCUUGGUACUACAUGUACAGGAUAGGUGGGAGGCUUUGAAACCAGGACGACAGUUUUGGCGGAGCCAUCCUUGGGAUACCACCCUUGUAGUACUGGGACUCUAACCAUAGGCCAUGAAUCUGGUCUUGGGACACUGUCAGGUGGGCAGUUUGACUGGGGCGGUCGCCUCCCAAAAGGUAACGGAGGCGCUCAAAGGUUCUCUCAGUACGGUCGGAAAUCGUACGUAGAGUGUAAAGGCAAAAGAGAGCUUGAUUGCAAGACAUACAGGUCGAGCAAGGAUGAAAAUCGGACUUAGUGAUCCGGUGGUUCUGCGUGGAAGGGCCAUCGCUCAACGGAUAAAAGCUACCCUGGGGAUAACAGGCUUAUCUCCCCCAAGAGUCCACAUCGACGGGGAGGUUUGGCACCUCGAUGUCGGCUCAUCACAUCCUGGGGCUGUAGUAGGUCCCAAGGGUUGGGCUGUUCGCCCAUUAAAGUGGUACGCGAGCUGGGUUCAGAACGUCGUGAGACAGUUCGGUCCCUAUCCGUCGCAGGCGUAGGAAAUUUGAGAAGACCUGUCCUUAGUACGAGAGGACCGGGAUGGACGUACCUCUGGUGUACCAGUUGUCCUGCCAAGGGCAUGGCUGGGUAGCUGUGUACGGAAUGGAUAAGCGCUGAAAGCAUCUAAGCGCGAAG
rnacentral:rRNA from 1 species